rnacentral:rRNA from 1 species
AUUGAACGCUGGCGGCAGGCCUAACACAUGCAAGUCGAGCGAGUGGCGGACGGGUGAGUAAUGUCUGGGAAACUGCCUGAUGGAGGGGGAUAACUCCUGGAAACGGUAGCUAAUACCGCAUACCAUCGGAUGUGCCCCGAUGGGAUUAGCUGGUAGGUGGGGUAAAGGCUCACCUAGGCGACGAUCCCUAGCUGGUCUGAGAGGAUGACCAGCCACACUGGAACUGAGACACGGUCCAUACUCCUACGGGAGGUAGCAGUGGGGAAGAUUGCACAAUGGGCGCAAGCCUGAUGCAGCCAUGCCGCUUGUAUGAAGAAGGCCUUCGGGUUGUAAAGCACUUUCAGCGAGGAGGCGUUACUCGCAGAAGAAGCACCGGCUAACUCCGUGCCAGCCGCCGCGGUAAUUC